rnacentral:tRNA from 4 species
AGGGGUGUAGCUCAGCUGGUAGAGCAUCGGUCUCCAAAACCGAGGGUCGGGGGUUCGAGUCCCUCCGCCCCUGCCA